GGAUCCCAGCCCCCAUAUCUAAUUUUCUGUGUGUGUAUGUGUAUAUAUAUAUAUAUAUAUAUAUAUAUAUAUAUAUAUAUAUAUAUAUAUAAUACAUACAUACACACAGAAAAUUAGAUAUGGGGGCUGGGAUCC